UUUUGAGGAAUGCAACUUUCUGAAAUUCCAAAAUUCCAGAUUGUGUCAAGUGGAGUACAUUUUUCAGCAGAUUCAUAAUGUCACAAAAGGGAUUUGCUCUGUGUCCAAGAUGAUAUUUGAGAUUGAGGCUUCAAAUGAGUUAAGUAUUGUGAUUAGGAGAGGGAGGGUGAAAAGCUUUUAAUGACUCUAUUUAGGAGGUAUCGUGGGUGGUUUUGGGGGCAGCAGGGUGAGAAACAGUGUCUACAGCACACAAGCUCAUCCAUUGCAGUCAGAGAAAUGCUAUGUAACUUUCUCUCUCUAACCCAGGUGCCACUCACAAUAACACGCUUGGACUCAGUGUGAAGCCAGAGACUCAAGGACCUAGGCACACUCAGGAGAGGACAAGUAGCCGACUUGCUGGGAGUUGGCCCAUAUAACACAAAGCUCAUAUGUUGUUUUUGGUUUACUUUAUUGCAGCUGACUGAGAGGUUAACAGGCAAUUGUGGCAGAGGUGCUCUGAGGCAUACUCAUUUCAGAUGCAGAUGGAUAAAAUCCAUAGCAGAGCACCCCAUCCCAGGAAGUAAAGGCAUAUAGCAACAGUCAAGUUCAAGUGGGCAAGGCAAUCUGCUCAGGUUAUGCCAAGCCCCUGUCAUCAACCGGCCGAUGGACCAGGUUGCUUCUGAGUAGCCCUCAGGAAUGACCAAGGAGUUGUGGUGAGUCGGGGAGGUAUCGAGGAGGAGCCGGGGUCCGCUCAGUUCUCAGCUGUGCUACAUCACCUCGUCUCCUCUGAGACGACAGCGUCAGUCUCGGAGUUCGGCCGAAGCGUGCGGCCCGAGGACCCAGUCACUCUUAGGAGGCGGAGACGACAGCCCGGUGACAGCAGGAACCUCCCAGACAGCCUGGUGGCCUUCCUUUGCACCUGAUGUGGAUUCUCAUUCCUGGACAUGCAAGAGAUAAGUUGAGGGCUAUGACUCACAGAGGGGAUGGAAGGGGGCUGCUGCAUCAGGACUCCCUGGGAGGGAUUUUUGAGUCAGGCUUGGAGAUGAGGCUAUCCAGGAAAAGUCAUCUUACGGCCACACAAAAGCAAAGUGUCACUUUUGAUCCCAGUGCUGUGGUCAGGAGGGCAGAGCAGUCCCGGUGUGUAUUGUGUCACUUGUCUAUUGUGCAUUAUGUGUUGUUUGUAUGUCUCAUGUCUUUUUUCUUAGCCCUUUGAGUGGCCUGUCAGAAACCCUGGCAUCAUUCUUGGCAUCUGUGAUCUCUGCAUUUCUUGGCCUGGCACCAAUGCCAUAGGACUUUUGUCUCAGGCUCUCUGAUAGGCAUGAGAAGCGCAUCUCUCUUUAGAAGCUUCCGGUCAGAUGUCUUUGAAGGUCUUGUUCUGAGCUGAAGGGACAGCUGCAGCCUGCAAGGAUCCAUUAUUGCGGAUUCAGACUUGUAAGAAAGCAAGGAUAGGUAGAGGAUUCUGACAGUAGGAUUCUCGGGCAUCCAUCUUUGCAGUUCUUGCAAUAAAUCAUUCAGUUAGCAUCUUCUUACUC